rnacentral:rRNA from 1 species
GACGAACGCUGGCGGCGUGCUUAACACAUGCAAGUCGAACGGGUCUGCCCUGUUUUUUGCGGGGUGGGUCAGUGGCGAACGGGUGAGUAACACGUGAGUAACCUGCCCCUCACUUCUGGAUAACCGCUUGAAAGGGUGGCUAAUACGGGGUGUUCUGGCUGUGCCGCAUGGUGUGGCUGGGAAAGAUUCACUUUUGUGGUGUUUUGGUGGGGGAUGGGCUCGCGGCCUAUCAGCUUGUUGGUGGGGUGAUGGCCUGCCAAGGCUUUGACGGGUAGCCGGCCUGAGAGGGUGGGCGGUCACACUGGGACUGAGAGACGGCCCAGACUCCUGCGGGAGGCAGCAGUGGGGGGUAUUGCACAAUGGGCGGAAGCCUGAUGCAGCGACGUCGCGUGAGGGAUGGAGGCCUUCGGGUUGUGAACCUCUUUCGCCGGUGAAGAAGGUCCUGCUCUUUGUGGUGGGGUUGACGGUAGCCGGGUUACGAAGCGCCGGCUAACUACGUG